CAGCCGCCACGGUAAUACGAAGGGUGCAAGCGUUACUCGGAAUUACUGGGCGUAAAGCGUGCGUAGGUGGUGGUUUAAGUCCGUUGUGAAAGCCCUGGGCUCAACCUGGGAAUUGCAGUGGAUACUGGGUCACUAGAGUGUGGUAGAGGAUAGUGGAAUUUCCGGUGUAGCAGUGAAAUGCGUAGAGAUCGGAAGGAACAUCUGUGGCGAAGGCGACUAUCUGGGCCAACACUGACACUGAGGCACGAAAGCGUGGGGAGCAAACAGGAUUAGAUACCCGCGUAGUCACUGUCUCUUAUAC
rnacentral:rRNA from 1 species